CUGGUGCUGCCCAGGACGCGAAGCAGCGGCGGCCUCCUCUGCGGAGCCGAGGAAUGGCUAGGUUGCGGCGGCGGGGCCGGGCGGGAGACGGCCGGGUCGCAGGUCCCAGCCCCCUUCCUGCCCCGACCCCCCGCACUGCUGCCCACCCUUCACUUCCCGGCCCGGCCCAGCCAGGUGCUUCCUUUGGGUCCUGCCCUCACGGUCCCCUCCCUGGCUCGGGCGGCGGGAACGCCGUGGAAGGAGGCGCAAAAUGGGUCCGGGCUGGGGCUCCCGCUGCUCCUCUCGCCGGGCCAGCCUUUCCGACCUCGUCGACCAAGUAGGCCGACCCUGUGAUCUGACCAGGGCCUCCUUUAGGCGGGAUCCCUGCUUCCACCCCACUCCUCUAGAUUACAGAGAAGUCCUUGGAAAAUACUUCAGAUUUCCAAGGCUGUUGUAAAACCACCUGACCCAGAUAUACAGUAUCUUACAUUAUCACAACUGAAGGAUGCCUUCAGGAUCAUUUUAUAAAGAAGGAAACAGCGCCAGGGAUUUAUCUCAGUGGUUCUGGUGCCUGUCUCGCAAGCACAAGGUCCCGAGUUCAAUCCCUGGUACCAAAAAACAAAAACAAAAAUAAAGAAGGAAACAGAGGUCCAGAAGAUAACCUGGCCAUGCUUUCUGCAUGUCAGACUGUGGACUCUAGUAUAUCCUGGGAUCGGCCAAGAAGGAAAGGACUUAUUUUAGAAGUAACCAGAAAUGUCCUUCACCUCUCAGAACUUCCUGUGCCUAGGUCAGGCAAGUCUUUAUCAGCCUUGAAUGGGUCAUUUGGCCUAGUGCCUGGAAGAAUUGAAAGAAAAAAUAUUCUCCUGGACCAAACAAGACUCAGCUAAGAACUGACAAGGCUUGAAAAAACCUUGGAUGGAAAAGUAUGUGGGAAGGAAGACAAAGUGUCACCUGGGGGAACUCAGAAGGAGUGACAUGAUGGAGGGGUGCUUACAGAGCUCAAUGUCUGAUUAGUUUUCAAGGAAAGGACAUGAGGCCAGGAGUUUGCUUAGGAGUGACAAAGCAACAAGACUUGGGGAAAGGAGGACUGGGCCUCAAAUCCAGGGAGGUUGGUCCCUGAACUUUUAUACCUGAAAGGGAAAAAAAUUGCUUGCAUUUGAGGAGUAAGGGACCUUGACUCAGGAGUCCCCCACAAGCCUACUGUGAUUAAAAACAGCAUGGUACUGGAAAAAAAAAAAAAACAAAAAACCAGACCUGAGGAUCAACGGAACGAA